GACGAACGCUGGCGGCGUGCUUAACACAUGCAAGUCGAACGGAAAGGCCCUGCUUUUGUGGGGUGCUCGAGUGGCGAACGGGUGAGUAACACGUGAGUAACCUGCCCUUGACUUUGGGAUAACUUCAGGAAACUGGGGCUAAUACCGGAUAGGAGCUCCUGCUGCAUGGUGGGGGUUGGAAAGUUUCGGCGGUUGGGGAUGGACUCGCGGCUUAUCAGCUUGUUGGUGGGGUAGUGGCUUACCAAGGCUUUGACGGGUAGCCGGCCUGAGAGGGUGACCGGCCACAUUGGGACUGAGAUACGGCCCAGACUCCUACGGGAGGCAGCAGUGGGGAAUAUUGCACAAUGGGCGGAAGCCUGAUGCAGCAACGCCGCGUGCGGGAUGACGGCCUUCGGGUUGUAAACCGCUUUCGGCUGUGACGAAGCGUGAGUGACGGUAAUGGGUAAAGAAGCACCGGCUAACUACGUG
rnacentral:rRNA from 1 species